UCCAGAAUAGAUGUUUAUCCUUAUGGA
rnacentral:misc_RNA from 1 species